rnacentral:rRNA from 1 species
CCUACGGGUGGCAGCAGUGAGGAAUAUUGGUCAAUGGACGAGAGUCUGAACCAGCCAAGCAGCGUGAAGGAUGAAUGCCCUAUGGGUUGUAAACUUCUUUUAUAAAGGAAUAAAACGCGGCACGUGUGCCUUUUUGCAUGUACUUUAUGAAUAAGGAUCGGCUAACUCCGUGCCAGCAGCCGCGGUAAUACGGAGGAUCCGAGCGUUAUCCGGAUUUAUUGGGUUUAAAGGGUGCGUAGGUGGAUUGUUAAGUCAGUUGUGAAAGUUUGCGGCUCAACCGUAAAAUUGCAGUUGAAACUGGCAGGCUGGAGUACAGGAGAGGUGGGCGGAAUUCGUGGUGUAGCGGUGAAAUGCUUAGAUAUCACGAAGAACUCCGAUUGCGAAGGCAGCUUACUGGACUGCAACUGACACUGAGGCUCGAAAGUGUGGGUAUCAAACAGGAUUAGAUACCCGGGUAGUC